rnacentral:lncRNA from 1 species
CACAAAUUUAUUAAUAUUACUACCUACAUGCGUGUGGAGCAUAUACUUUAACAUAAAAGUUUACAUUCUCCAUGGAUAACUAUUGUAGAUCAGAGUAAGAGUUGUAAGGUGCAAAGGAUGAAGAAGAUGGGAAAAGUAGCAAGACAAAUCAAUAAAGUUAGGCUUGUGGCUACAAUUAUGGGUAUGUUUCUUAUUAAAUUGAAGUCACUUUGUGUUAGAAUUAUGAUCUAGUCUUGAACUCUUCUAGACAAAGUCUACAGUACUGGAACUAACACUCGUACCUGUAGGCCAGCGGUACAGUAUGGUAUGGUGCUGUGCCAUCCCGUCCCAAUGCAUGGUAAAAAAGGAAACCAAAGAGGGAGAGGAAGAAGGAGAGAGGAAAAGAGAGAGCGGGAGGGGGAGAGAGAGAUGCCAUGAGAGAGAGUGAGAGGGGGCUCGAAAGUCCUCUCCUCCGGUCGUCCACAAGCCCCAUUAGGUGGAACCUUGUUUCGAACAAAAUAAAGGCUUGGAGGGGUGAGGGAGAGAGGGAGGGGGAGAGAGAGAUACCUGG